GAUGAACGCUGGCGGCGUGCCUAAUACAUGCAAGUCGAGCGAACAGACGAGGAGCUUGCUCCUCUGACGUUAGCGGCGGACGGGUGAGUAACACGUGGAUAACCUACCUAUAAGACUGGGAUAACUUCGGGAAACCGGAGCUAAUACCGGAUAAUAUAUUGAACCGCAUGGUUCAAUAGUGAAAGACGGUUUUGCUGUCACUUAUAGAUGGAUCCGCGCCGCAUUAGCUAGUUGGUAAGGUAACGGCUUACCAAGGCGACGAUGCGUAGCCGACCUAAGAGGGUGAUCGGCCACACUGGAACUGAGACACGGUCCAGACUCCUACGGGAGGCAGCAGUAGGGAAUCUUCCGCAAUGGGCGAAAGCUUGACGGAGCAACGCCGCGUGAGUGAUGAAGGUCUUCGGAUCGUAAAACUCUGUUAUUAGGGAAGAACAAAUGUGUAAGUAACUAUGCACGUCUUGACGGUACCUAAUCAGAAAGCCACGGCUAACUACGUG
rnacentral:rRNA from 1 species